rnacentral:rRNA from 1 species
CGCGUAGGCGGUUUCGGAAGUCAUGGGUGAAAGUCCUCGGCUCAACCGAGGGAUUGCCUGUGAAACCACGGGACUGGAGUGCUGGAGAGGGAAGUGGAAUUCCCAGUGUAGCGGUGAAAUGCGUAGAUAUUGGGAGGAACACCUGUGGCGAAGGCGGCUUCCUGGACAGACACUGACGCUGAGGCGCGAAAGCCAGGGGAGCGAACG